AUACGGAGGAUGCAAGCGUUAUCCGGAUUUAUUGGGUUUAAAGGGUGCGCAGGCGGCGCGUUAAGUCAGCGGUGAAAUCUCCCGGCUCAACCGGGGAACUGCCGUUGAUACUGGCGUGCUCGAGUACGGACGGCGCCGGCGGAAUGUGUCAUGUAGCGGUGAAAUGCUUAGAUAUGCCACAGAACACCGAUCGCGAAGGCAGCUGGCGAGGCCGGUACUGACGCUCAGGCACGAAAGCGUGGGGAUCAAACAGGAUUAGAUACCCUGGUAGUCCACGCAGUAAACGAUGAAGACUUGUUGUCGGCGAUAGACAGCCGGUAACAAAGCGAAAGCGAUAAGUCUUCCACCUGGGGAGUACGAUCGCAAGGUUGAAACUCAAAUGAAUUGACGGGG
rnacentral:rRNA from 1 species